UCUCACACUGUAUGAUUUCUCAUGAAGUAACUUGGGGCUGAAGCAAAACUCCCAGGGGAAGCUGCCUGCAAAGAAAAGAGCUGGUUUUCACUAAGCAGCUCAUUAAAGAAAAUUGGUCUCUCCCCACACCACCACCAGAAAAGGGCACUUAACUAAUUUGGAAGGCAUUCUGAACGAAAGGAAGUCCUUGGACUAUUUGUAAGCAGCAAGCAACCUUCGAAGAGAAGGCAGCUGAUGGAUUAUGACUGAACAGCCCUAAGAGUAGCUGGAUCUUCUUAAAAUGACACUUUAUACUAAAUUACCUUCAGC